rnacentral:rRNA from 1 species
AUACGAGUGCCCCAAGCGUUAUCCGGAUUUAUUGGGCGUAAAGCGUCUGUAGGCGGCUUAACACGUCUUUCGUUAAAUCCUGAGGCUCAACCUCGGGGCUGCGAAAGAUACGGUUAAACUAGAGGUCGGAAAAGGCAAGCGGAAUUGCUGGUGUAGGGGUUAAAUCCAUUAAUAUCAGCAAGAACACCAAAAGCGAAGGCAGCUUACUUGGACGAACCUGACGCUCAGAGACGAAAGCGUGGGUAGCGAAUGGGAUUAGAUACCCUAGUAGUCC